rnacentral:rRNA from 1 species
UACGUAGGGUGCAAGCGUUGUCCGGAAUUAUUGGGCGUAAAGAGCUCGUAGGCGGUUUGUCGCGUCUGCUGUGAAAACUCGGGGCUUAACCCCGGGCCUGCAGUGGGUACGGGCAGACUAGAGUGCGGUAGGGGAGACUGGAAUUCCUGGUGUAGCGGUGGAAUGCGCAGAUAUCAGGAGGAACACCGAUGGCGAAGGCAGGUCUCUGGGCCACUACUGACGCUGAGGAGCGAAAGCGUGGGGAGCGAACAGG